AAGCAUAUAAAUAAGCGGAGGAAAAGAAACUAACAAGGAUUGACGUAGUAAGGGCGACUGAACUGUCAUGAGCUCACCAUGUGAAUCUGCGUAUGNGAGUGCGCCGAAUUGUGGUCUGGAGGUGAAUGCACUAUUGUGCUGGGCAAAGUCCCUUGGAAGAGGGCAGCAUAGAGGGUGACACUCCCGUUUGUCCGGUGCUUGAGCGUUUACCGAGGAGUCGAGUUGUUUGGGAUUGCAGCUCAAAGCCGGUGGUAAAUUCCAUCGAAAGCUAAAUAUUGGUGGGAAACCGAUAGCGUACAAGUACCGUGAGGGAAAGAUGCAAAGAACUUUGAAAAGAGAGUUAAAGAGUGCCUGAAAUUGCUGAAAAGGAAGCGAAGGAAAUCAGUGAUAAGUUGCGCCAUAUUUCCCGACCUGCUUGCGGGUAGGGCGCUGUGGUCAGCGUGGUUCAUCAUGGUUCAUUUGAUGGAAAGUGCAGCAGCAACUGCGUGUUGCAGCGGCUGGAUGUUGACUGGAUUGUGAGGAACAAAAUGGUUUUCUUUGCCCCGUCUUGAA
rnacentral:rRNA from 1 species